UACGAAGGGGGCUAGCGUUGCUCGGAAUCACUGGGCGUAAAGCGCACGUAGGCGGAUUUUUAAGUCAGGGGUGAAAUCCUGGAGCUCAACUCCAGAACUGCCUUUGAUACUGGGAAUCUCGAGUCCGGAAGAGGUGAGUGGAAUUCUUAGUGUAGAGGUGAAAUUCGUAGAUAUUAGGAAGAACACCAGUGGCGAAGGCGGCUCACUGGUCCGGUACUGACGCUGAGGUGCGAAAGCGUGGGGAGCAAACAGG
rnacentral:rRNA from 1 species